GAAGAAGCACCGGCUAACUCCGUGCCAGCAGCCGCGGUAAUACGGAGGGUGCGAGCGUUAAUCGGAAUUACUGGGCGUAAAGCGCAUGCAGGCGGCCUGUUAAGUCAGAUGUGAAAGACCCGGGGCGUUAACCUCGGAAUUGCAUUUGUAAACUGGCAGGCUAGAGUCUUGUAGAGGGGGGUAGGAAGUUUCAGGUGUAGCGGUGAAAUAGCGUAGAGAUCUGAAGGAAUACCAGUGGCGAAGGCGGCCCCCUCGGACAAAGACUGACGCUCAGAUGCGAAAGCGUGGGGAGCAAACAGGAUUAGAUACCCCUGGUAG
rnacentral:rRNA from 1 species